rnacentral:ncRNA from 1 species
CAACCUGAGCUCAGUCGUGAUUACCCGCCGAACUUAAGCAUAUCAUUCAGCGGAGGAAAAGAAACUAACUAGGAUUCCCCAAGUAAUGGCGAAUGAAAGGGGAAGAGCCCAGCGCUGAAUCUCUCGGUCUUAGGCCGCUGAGAACUGUAGCGUAUAGGUGUAGACUGUCCUGCUAUAUUGCUAUUUCCGAAGUCUCUUGAUAGGGGCCAACAUCCAGAGAGGGUGCGAGACCUGUACGGAAAGUAGUAUAGUUGGUAUGGUUACUC